rnacentral:rRNA from 1 species
UUUAACUUGAGAGUUUGAUCCUGGCUCAGAAUCAACGCUGGCGGCGUGCCUAACACAUGCAAGUCGAACGCGAAAGCCCCGCAAGGGGUAAGUAGAGUGGCAAAC